GGCUGAUGACAAACCCCCUGAUGUCUUCAUUCAAUAUGUAGGGCCACGGUUCCAAAAGGGCAUUCCAACCGACAGAACUUUACGCCAUUGUGACAGCUGCUGUCAAAGGUGGGACAGCAAAGCCACGUACAGACCAUGAAAUUUCACGUACUAUGGCAGACCAUUUCAAACAUGCUCCUGGGCGGUCUGGUGGUGGAGGCUAUCUUAAAAAAUAAAACAGUGCAGCAUUGAUGAGGAAACAUCAGGGAGGAACUUCGGUUGUUUGAGUUCAUCGGUCCACACUAGUUUGGCCCUGAUCAGUUGUGAUAUGAGAUGGAAACAUUUCACUACAGUCAUGACUGUAUUGAAGUCUAUUUUUUGUUUUACAUCCUUUAUAUCAUGUU